UACGAAGGUGGCAAGCGUUGUUCGGAUUUACUGGGCGUACAGGGAGCGUAGGCGGUUGGGUAAGCCCUCCGUGAAAUCUCCGGGCCUAACCCGGAAAGUGCGGAGGGGACUGCUCGGCUAGAGGAUGGGAGAGGAGCGCGGAAUUCCCGGUGUAGCGGUGAAAUGCGUAGAUAUCAGGAGGAACACCUGUGGUGUAGACAGCUUACUGGACCAUUUCUGACGCUGAGACACGAAAGCGUGGGUAGCAAACAGG
rnacentral:rRNA from 1 species